GCAAGUCGAGCGAGAAAGUUACUUCGGUAACGAGUAAAGCGGCGAACGGGUGAGUAACACGUAAAUAACCUACCUUUAAAUCUGGGACAACAUUGCUAACGCGAUGCUAAUACCGGAUGUGAUUAUAAGGUCUCAUGGCUUAAUAAUUAAAGAUGACCUCUCCUUGGAAGUUAUUGUUUGAAGAUGGAUUUGCGCACUAUUAGUUAGUUGGUAAGGUAACGGCUUACCAAGACGAUGAUAGUUAGCCGACCUGAGAGGGUGAUC
rnacentral:rRNA from 1 species